UACGUAGGGGGCAAGCGUUGUCCGGAAUCAUUGGGCGUAAAGAGCGUGUAGGCGGCUCGGUAAGUCCGCUGUGAAAGUCGGGGGCUCAACCCUCGAAUGCCGGUGGAUACUGUCGAGCUAGAGUGCGGAAGAGGCGAGUGGAAUUCCUGGUGUAGCGGUGAAAUGCGCAGAUAUCAGGAGGAACACCGAUUGCGAAGGCAGCUCGCUGGGACGUUACUGACGCUGAGACGCGAAAGCGUGGGGAGCAAACAGG
rnacentral:rRNA from 1 species